CCCUGCCUGCAAGUCAGAAAGCAGAAAACAAACUUGUGACACCAGUCCUUGAGCCUCACACUACAGAAUUCACACCUUCUUAAAGAUGCUCAGGAUGAAAAAACCUACACUUACUGAUGGAACAACUAAGCUUAAAUAAGGCCUGGUCAAUAAAUAAUGACUGAGUAGGGAGGAAGAUGACAGGUGGGGGCAAAGAGCUAUUUCAGUCUGAGUUUGAGAAAUGCAGCUGGGAUGCUGGUGAUCUGAUUUACCUAAACUAAGUGACACAUGAUGCAGCUUGGAGACAGCCCAGCUCUACCUGCAGUAAAUGGAUAUGCCAUCUGAGGGUAGAACAAGUUUUCCCACUACAAUCUUCUUUUUUUUCCCCCAGGUUUGAUUAUUUGGUGUGCAGGUGGUCAUGUAUCACAUUACUCAGAAAUACUCAGAGUCAUUAUAAAAUAGGAGGAAAGCUGUCUGAAACUGAAACCACCUUGAAUCUACCUCAUUUGACAGUCGGACACACAGUACAUAGGAUCUGCAGAUCUGAAGCCUUUCACCACUGUGUGCAACAGCAAACCCCCAUUUGGCUCCUUCUAUCCUUGCUCAAGAGAUGGGUACAAGUAGUGCAUCACUCAAUCCUACCAAAAGCAUUCUUGUGCAUGGUGAAUACAAUGUUUGGAUAGUGGGUUUUUUUUUUUCCAGUGUAAUUUAUAAUAAAAAUCAUUGCUUAAA